rnacentral:rRNA from 1 species
GACAGAGGGUGCAAACGUUGUUCGGAAUUACUGGGCGUAAAGCGCGCGCAGGCGGCCUUGCAAGUCGGGCGUGAAAUCCCACGGCUCAACCGUGGAAGUGCACUCGAAACUGCGAGGCUAGAGUCUUGGAGAGGAAGGCGGAAUGCUUGGUGUAGAGGUGAAAUUCGUAGAUAUCAAGCGGAACACCGGUGGCGAAGGCGGCCU